rnacentral:rRNA from 1 species
GACGAACGCUGGCGGCGUGCUUAACACAUGCAAGUCGAACGGUAAGGCCCUUCGGGGUACACGAGUGGCGAACGGGUGAGCAACACGUGGGUGAUCUGCCCUGCACUUCGGGAUAAGCCUGGGAAACUGGGUCUAAUACCGGAUAGGACCACUGCCUGCAUGGGUGGUGGUGGAAAGCUUUGGCGGUGUGGGAUGGGCCCGCGGCCUAUCAGCUUGUUGGUGGGGGGAUGGCCUACCAAGGCGACGACGGGUAGCCGGCCUGAGAGGGUGACCGGCCACACUGGGACUGAGAUACGGCCCAGACUCCUACGGGAGGCAGCAGUGGGGAAUAUUGCACAAUGGGCGCAAGCCUGAUGCAGCGACGCCGCGUGAGGGAUGACGGCCUUCGGGUUGUAAACCUCUUUCAGCACCGACGAAGCGCAAGUGACGGUAGGUGCAGAAGAAGGACCGGCCAACUACGUGCCAGCCGCCGCCGUAA